AAUCAAUCGCCGAUUCCUCAAAAUAUUGAAUGAUUAUCAAUUUUUGAUUAAUAAAAUAAAUCAGACAUCUGACAGCUUAAAAAAAUUUUUUGCUCUCAGCUACUGACGAAGGAUCAAUUGACGACGAUGGGGAAAAUUUUCGUUCAAUAAUUGAAAAGCUGCACGAUAAAUUCAACGACAAAGAAACAGAAAAGUCUUUGAAAAUACAAAUUUUAACCUUGUUAGCUGAAAAAUGGAGUGAAAGACGUAUUUUUGAAACUAUGAAUUCAUCAAGAGUAGCACACGUCCAAAAACUAUCUAUCUACUAUCUGUGUAUGUUCUAUCCAUCAAAACAUUAGUUGAUGAUGCUUGGUGCAAAUGUUCACUUUUUAAGGAGGAAUACAGAAAAGUCGUUGAAACACUGUAAUGAUUGCUCGGACAUGAUAAUAUGUGAGACUCCAACAGUAAAAUGUUAUUUGAGUGAAUGUAACAAGUGUCAGGUAGAAGAUGAGGAACAUUUUACUGACAUGUUUUGAGAAUCAGGAAAUCGAGAAUGUCACGUACAAGCGUUGGGUAUCAAAACCAAGGUGUAGUUUAGAAACUUUUAUACAGCCUACAGAAGAAUUUAUUGAAAACUUUUGUAGUGAUUUGAAAGUUCUUCUACCUCAUUCAUUCAUUGCAAAAGAACAAGCUCAGUUUUUAAAAACAAUGAAGGAAACACUAAAACCAAAUGAAUUUGUGAUAUUUUGUGAUUGAAGAAGACUAUAAUACAGCAUUGAAUGACAGAUUUACAAAACUUACCGAUCCAAACAGGGUUAUUUCAGUCGGUAACCGACUCCCUCUCAGUGAA